rfam:Eutrema salsugineum unplaced genomic scaffold scaffold_6, whole genome shotgun sequence.
AACCCAUGGUGAGGACAUUGAUUGGUGUAACUUCUGAAACUCUCUAAAGAUUCACCAAAAUUGUUAUUGUGAUUUGUGUUUAGGAUGAGAUUUGGUUCCUGAGUUU